rnacentral:lncRNA from 1 species
CAUCAGCUUUCUCGGCAUUGGGCCCCACCCAACAUCGAACCAUAUUAGGCAUCGGGCCCCGUCCGUCAUCGAGCCUCGCCUGUCAUCGAGCCUCGCCCGACAUCGAGCACAUCUUGGAAUAAAUCUGAACACAAUCAAGUAAUACACAUAACCUAAGCAUAUAUCAUUAACAUUUAAACAUUCCUCGGGCCCCACCCAGAAUUGAACUGUAGUCCGGAAACAUACUAACAUUCCUCGGAACUGCCCCGACAUCGGACCGAAGUCCGGAAACAUACAAGUACAAAUGCAUGCAAACGUUCCUCGGGACCGCCCCGACAUCGGAUCAAAAUAAAGAAGCACAUAUAAACCUACAUCGGGCCUCGCCUGAUAUCAUACCGUAGUCCGGAACUACUACUAACUAAACGGGUCGGCCAUGGUACCUUAGUCCCGUUCCUACUAGUGUAAACUCACCUCGUGUACUAGCUACGAAAUCUCGUGGGAAGAAUCUCCGACAGCUGCUCCAACGACUCCCUAGCUAUCAAUUUCACAAUAACACUUAAUCAAAAUCUGAUAAUCCUUCUUAGGGUAAAAUGACCAUUUUACCCCUAGUCAAAGUCAACGUCAUGGUCAACUCCCAGUGGACUCAACUCGUCGAGUUACCUUCUAACUCGACGAGUUCCUAUACUACUCAGACUCGUGACCAACCGAGUCAACUCAUCGAGUCCCUUGAUAGACUCAUCGAGUUCUACCUGGCAUAGAAUCGAGACAACCCGACUCAACUCGUCGAGUCCCUUUCUAGACUCACUGAGUUCCCUUGUUUGUUUGGGUUAUCUUAAUGGAUUAAGCCCAUACACUUUAGAUCCAAGCUUCACAAUUUAGAAAAACCCUUGCAAUGCCCUUUUAAAGGUAAUGUCUCUAACUUUACCCAUUAGUACCUCUUCUUAAAGGAUUUAGCUCAAACCUGUAACAUCCCGAGAUUCAGGUGCAUUUCUUUCAUCCUUAUUCUUUAUCGAAUUGUCAUGUUUAGUCCUUGAGUGGAGGACAUGUAGCAAGUGAGUAUGUUGGGCGUACCAGAGGAGUACGCUGCGCGUACUCACACGCUUAAUUUGGAUGUGGAGUCGCCAAGGUACGUUGGGCGUACCUAGAGUUACACCGGGCGUACCCGUCCCAGGUGCAAAACCCUAAUCCUCCAUGUGCACUAUUUAAAAGGUGUUAUGGCUCAUUCCUUAGCCUCCAUAUUAGUGAGUGAAACCCUAAAAGAGAGCCCCAUCAUUCUUAGAGUGAGAGAGUGUUGCUUUUGAGCUUGUUAGUGCUUUAGUGGCUUAGUGAAGAAGGAGGAAAGGAGAUCUUGGAGGCUAAAGCUUGAGGUGCCAUUUUGGAUCGGAGAUCUAUAGAGGAAAGAGCUACUCUUGGAGGUAUAAAGUUCAAAACUUUCCUCUUCUUUUGGUUGCUAUUGUAUGUGUCCUUUUUAGGGCUAAAAACCCCAAAGGUGGAGACUUUAUGAGUGUAAAGUGCUCCAUGGUCCAAGAUCUGUCCCUUUUCAGUGUUAUUAGUGAUGUAGAGCCAUAAAGUUCCCAUCUUGGAUGUUACUUUGGAGUCAUGCAUGUGUUUUAAUCCUUCUAGAGUUGAAGGUUGGAUCAUUUUAGGAGUUAGUGACUUGUUCAUCCAUGCAAAGGCUUAAAGUCAUCAACUUUAUGGAUUAAGGGGCUUAGAAGGGGUCAGAUCUAAAAUAUGGACGUAGGUCUUAACUGUUUAAGACCUCAAGAGCAAAACGGCUGAAGUAGGGAAGUACGCCGGACGUAAUUCCUAGUACGCGCCGCGUACUGGGUGGCGCUCCCUGAUUCUGAGGUGCAGCCGGGUACGCUCAGCGUAUACAUCUGGUACGCCCAACAUAACCCGGAGAGUUGACUUUUGGUUGACUUUUACGGUAUGGUCUAUUGUGGGGCCUUUGAGCUAUGGGAGGGGUAAAAUGGUCUUUUCCCCUUCUGAGAGUGUCAUAAGAGAACAUAGUCUAGCCUUUGGAGUUAUAUUAAAUAGAGUAUUAUUUUCAUAUGAUUAGGCGAAGGCUAGGCCAGCGUUUACCGAGUCAGAGAUUUACCGAGAUACCCGAGGUGAGUCUUCUCACUAUACUUUACCUAGUGUGGUCAUAGAGUUCAGAGACAGAGUAUUAUAGAGUUAUAUGCCAGUGUGAUUGCAUGUUAUUAUGUGUUGUGAUUUAUUGUGAUAUGUGAUAUGCAUGAUUCAGAGUUACAGAGUUGGGACUUUCGGGUCCCUAGAGUUAGGGCCAGAGGGCCCACAGAGAGUUGGGGCUGGAGGGCCCCACUGAGACACAUUGACCAGAGGGUCAACAGAGUUACAUCCUCGAGUGGCUAUUAUGUGAUUAGUGUGGUAUUUUGGGGAACUCACUAAGUUUAUGCUUACAGUGUUCAGUGUUAUGUGUUUCAGGUACCAGUGAUGACCGCGGGAAGGCGCCGGCUUGAUUCGUACACACAUAUGGGAUUGGAUGUAUUUUGAUCUUGGGAGACAUUUGUGAUUUAAAAACAUGAUGUUAUCACAUUUUGUGAAUGAAUGGUUUUAUUUAAAAUGUGUUUACAAAUGUGAAAAAUUGUUUUAAUUUUUACAGUGUUACAAAACCCUAAUUCCGUAGGACCUAGAACAUGGUCCUUACGCCAUCCUUACACAUAAAUAAAGCUCACAACCUCAGAUCUACACUCAUAACACUAAAUGGACACAUAAAGUUCCCACAUUUUCCACAUGUAUGGCCUUUUUGGGGCUAAAAAUGCCAAUAUUACACUCUAAGACUUGCAUGGGGGCUCUAAUGGCAUAAAGUUUGCAUCUUUAUGUCAUAUAAGCCCCUUUAGGUGCUACAUCUGGAAGAAUACCCACUUGGGUCGAUCAUUCUCCAAAAGCUAUCAAUCUUGGAUAAAAAACCCUCAUAAAGAUGGACAUAAAGAGAUCUAAUGAACUAAUACCCAAGAUAGACACUUGAUUAACAGAAAAUGUAGCAAAUGGCAUGUAGUUUCUGGAUCUACUCUUCCCUUCUUGAGCCCUCUGUCUUCUUCUUCUUCCACAAGCUUUAAAAGUACAAAAAGAUCACUAAAAAUGGCUCUCACUCUCAAAUAACACUUUAGGGUUUCGUUGAUUAGGGUUUCACUCUGGCCGAUCUACUCGUCGAGUCGAGGGCCCUUGACUCGACGGGUAGGUAGCUUAAACCUUGUGUAUAAUUUGCCUUCUACUCGAUGAGUUAGGGCCACCAACUCGUCGAGUCACCUUUUCAAAAUAAAUAAAUUAAUGAUUUAAAUGCAUACCGGGAACCAGGCGUAACAAAUUAUUUAGUAAUACAAGUUUUAUCUUCUUAUAUCGUUUGAAACGAAUAAGAACUAUUUAAUUUUUUUUAUCAAAGAUAAAUAUUACGUUGUCGAUGUCGGAUAUCCAUGUACUACGAGAGUAUCUUUCUCCAUAAAAGGUACAAAAUUCAUUAUCAUAUAGUAGGCUUUCAACAUGGGCAAAAUGCUGCUAUACAUCUUCCCACCGAAGCAAAAGAGACAUUUAACCAUUACCGAUCAUCAUUGAGAAAUAUCAUCCAACGAACUUUUGGAGUUUGGAAAGGUAGGUGUGCAUUACUGAGAAAUAUACAUGCUAAUACAAGUAUACACACCAAAUAAACAUUAUGAUAGGAUCAAUGGUAAUCCAUAACUAUAUUGGAAAUGAUGGUAGGUAUGAUCAAACAUUUUACAAUACAAAACAAGAAUACUAUAUUCCCAAUGAUGUUGAGACAUCAUGUGGUACUUAUUAAUAAUUUAGCUCAUAAAAUGAGGUUGAAGUAUAAGUCGUACAAAUCAUAAUGAUCAUCGUUGAUGACCUAAAAAAUUAAGAAUUAAACUCGACUUUUCUGAAAACCACAAAGACUAUUUUUGAAAAUUUCCCUUGUAAAUAUUUAAUUUGAAGAAUAUAGUUAUGUAAAAAUCUCUUUGAAUGAAAUCAGUUAAUGACAUCUACAUUCUCAUUAAUAAAAUUGAAUAUAAUUCAUGAUUUAAUGUUAGGUUCAACUAUUUUUAUGAUUAAGCGAUUUAAAAAGAUUUAUUUCAAUUUCCUUUUAUUUAUAAUGUAAUUUAGUUUAUAAUUUUAUUUAUUGUAAAUUGUUAUUAUUAAUUAAAUUUAAAACCAUUUAUUAUUAUAAAAAAUUUAUUGAAAACUAAAAUCUUUGUAUAAUUUUUUUUAUAUAUUUAUCUCACAUUAAAUAACAAAAUUAUCUAUUCUCACAAAUUUGACAGGUCAUGUCUUAUGAGAUUUUAUUAGAAAUGUUAAAGGUGUUUUAAGUUUCAAAAUAAUAUGGUGUAAAGAAUUUUACCUUUUUUUAUUAUAUAGUUUGUUGAUAUGAUUAGGUUAUAACCAACAAGGUUGGGUUGACAUAAUAAAAUAACAUUGAUUUUAUGUUUUUUACGUUAAAAUUAAAAAUAAAAUCAUUAUAUUACAUAAUGAAAUCUAAAAUUUAAUAGAAUGAAUGAAAAAGAAUUGGUCAAACCUAGUUUCGAAUUUAUUUUAAUAUAAUACAAAUAAGAACACAACAAAGAAAAUCUCAACUCACAACAGAGGUACAUUGUUUUGCUCAAGCUAUGGCAAAUUAGCAACCCAUCACAUUUCAAUAAGUCGUCCCACUUGAAUUUACCAAUACACAAUACAUAUCCAAUAAGGGUGAAGGUUAAAAACGUUUGGCGUUGUUGGCAUUUGGCAGCAUAAAAUGAGCUGUAUGGAAAGCGAACCAAUUUUCAAUGGCCCCCCUCUCAGAUUAUGCAAUAUAUAAAUUACCCUACAAUAUCUACAUCUAUAAAUUCGUAUACGUAUAUAAAUAUCCAACUUAUAUCCAUCACAUAGAUCACACAUUACACACAAGACAAAGAUUGCAUUAGUACAUGGUCAAAAUGACACAUUCGUCGACAACAUUUUUUACUAAAAUUGUUCUUUUCCUAAUUCUAGUCGUGUUCUUUACACUGUCACCAGUGGCUGAUGCCAGACCCGCUACAUUUCUCCAAGAUUUCCGUAUUACAUGGUCUGAUUCCCACAUUAAGCAACUCGAUGGUGGCAAAGCCAUCCAACUUGUUCUUGACCAAAACUCAGGUAAGUAUACAUAUACAUAUAUAUAUUCAGUAUGCUUAGUAUUUAGAAAGCCUCUCAUACGAGCAUUAUUUUUUGACAUAGGAUGUGGGUUUGCUUCAAAAAGCCAAUACUUAUUUGGACGUGUGAGCAUGAAGAUUAAGCUUAUUCCAGGAGACUCUGCGGGCACUGUUACUGCUUUCUAUGUACGUUUAUUUUAAAGAAAAUAAUGUUUUAUGUAACUUGUGUUUCUUUAUUUUUAUAAAUAGUUACAUGGGUGCAUGUUUGGUGUUGAUUUUUGUGGCAGAUGAAUUCGGAUACCGAUCAAGUGCGUGAUGAACUGGAUUUUGAGUUCUUAGGGAACCGAACAGGGCAACCUUACUCGGUACAAACCAAUGUGUAUGCUCAUGGAAAGGGUGAUAGAGAACAAAGGGUUAACUUGUGGUUCGACCCAGCUGCAGACUAUCACACUUACUCCAUCUUAUGGAACCAUCACCAUGUUGUGUAAGUAGAUGGGAGAUGUCAAUCAUUAAUUUAUGAAUAUACAUAUUAAUAUUCGAACAAUCUAUGUUAUAGUUUUAUUUAAGGUUUAAUUUUAACGGAUAAUUAAAAAAAAAGGCUAUAGCUAGGUAGACAUAUAUACCAAAAGCCUAGAUGUACUCAACUAGUUACAACCAAUUAAACCGAUUUACCAAAAAGUCGUUUAUCAUGUUAAUAAUAACUUUAUCAACUGAGUUUAAUAUAUUGGUUAGUUAUUAAAUUAAAUAAAAUGAACAAAAAUAUUGGUGAGGCUGCCUUACAGUUCUAGGAUUGUUUUUUGACCGUUUUAAACAAAUUACACGUGCGUUUGGGAUUCUUUUUAUAAGUUAAAAGUUUUUUUUUUUUUUUUUUUUUUUUUUUUUUUUUUUUUUUUUUUUGUAAAAAAAGACUUUUUUCUAAAAGAAGUUUUUCUAAAAAUAGAUAUUUAAAAUGUGUUUGGAUGAAUUUUUAAGAUUUUUAAGAGAUAAAAGUCAAAAUUCACAAAAAAUAAGAUUUUAUGACUUUUAAAAAGACUUCUUUUUUAUCAUGGCUAAAAGUUGAUUUAAAAUAACUUUUUUUGUUUUAUUUUGCCAAACAUUUUUUGGAUUUUUUUAACUUUUUGAAAAAGUUAAAAGUCCAAGAAUUGUUUUAAAAGAUAAGCCAAACACCUGGUACACGUUUGAAAGAAACUUAUUUUGACAUAUGUUCAAUACAUAAGUUUAAGUAGUAUCAUGGUGUGUAUGGCAUAUUGGAUGCAUCAUAACUUGUAUUAUACAACUUAACAAUAAAAAAUGUGAUCAUACAGAUUUUCCGUGGAUGAAGUACCCAUAAGGGUAUUCAAGAACAAUGAAGCCAGAGGGCUUCCAUUCCCCAAGUUCCAGCCAAUGGGAGUCUACUCUACAUUAUGGGAAGCAGAUGAUUGGGCUACAAGGGGUGGACUCGAAAAAAUUGAUUGGAGCAAAGCACCAUUUUACGCAUACUACAAGGACUUUGACAUUGAGGGGUGCCCAGUUCCUGGUCCACGCACCUGUGCCUCGAACCCUUCCAACUGGUGGGAAGGUCAAAGCUACCAACAACUUGACCCAAUUGCAGCUCGUCGUUACAGAUGGGUUCGUUUGAACCACAUGGUGUAUGAUUAUUGCACUGAUAAACAACGCUACCCAGUUACACCACCAGAAUGUUUAGCCGGAAUUUGAGAUGAUUGAAUAUUGAGGAUAUAUAAAUGGGGUUAUUGAUUAUUACUAUUGGCCGGUUGAGGAUGAGAACUUUGUUUAUUGUGUGUCUGGAAAAUAAAGUCAUUGGGUAUUUUAUGUGUACGUAAGAGGGUUAAAUUUGUAAUUGUACCAUACAAGGUAUCCUCAAUAGGGUGAAAUUAUUGUGUAUGCAUUUAUGGGAUUUCAAAUUAUCUAUGCAAAUAAUCUUUGUGUUUAUUUC